GAUGAAGAACGUAGCGAAAUGCGAUACGUAGUGUGAAUUGCAGAAUUCAGUGAAUCAUCGAAUCUUUGAACGCACAUUGCGCCCUUUGGUAUUCCAAAGGGCAUGCCUGUUCGAGCGUCAUUUGUACCCUCAAGCUUUGCUUGGUGUUGGGCGUUUUUGUCUUUGGCCCGCCAAAGACUCGCCUUAAAAUGAUUGGCAGCCGGCCUACUGGUUUCGCAGCGCAGCACAUUUUUGCGCUUGCAAUCAGCAAAAGAGGACGGCAAUCCAUCAAGACUCCUUCUCACGUUUGACCUCGGAUCAGGUAGCGAUACCCGCUGAACUUAAGCAUAUCAAUAAGCGGAGGA
rnacentral:misc_RNA from 1 species